UACGUAGGUGGCAAGCGUUGUUCGGAAUUAUUGGGCGUAAAGAGCUCGUAGGUGGUUCGGUAAGUCAGGUGUGAAACCUCCAGGCUCAACCUGGAGACGCCACUUGAUACUGCUGUGACUGGAGUCCGGUAGGGGAGCGUGGAAUUCCUGGUGUAGCGGUGAAAUGCGCAGAUAUCAGGAGGAACACCAGCGGCGAAGGCGGCGCUCUGGGCCGGUACUGACACUGAGGAGCGAAAGCGUGGGUAGCAAACAGG
rnacentral:rRNA from 1 species